CAAGGUUCACACAUUACAAAUGAGUCAGUCUUCAGGAAAAAUGGACAGUAAAAAACAUGCAGGGAACAUCAACAGCAUGAUUGAAAGGAGAAACUAAAUAAAACUAAUAAGAUGGCAAAGCCGGGGUACACACCAUGGGAUUUGAGAAAUUAAUGAAAUUGGAAUCUGCUGAAGAUCAAAAUAACGGCACAAGGCAUAGAUGAUCCAAAGGGAAACCCGAAAAAGACCCCACACUGUCUCGGUUCUACAUGGCAACCAAAAAUGACUGGAAUGUGCAGCAGAAAUUCCAGUGACUCCAUUUUUGCCUGUGCCCAGAUGAACUUUCUCCUUGAUGAGUUUUGCCUUAUGCAGGGAUUGAGAGGAGUUGUACCAUCCAACCCAGAGAGCCAAAGUGUUGGAAGAGCUAUAUCCUGAUCAAAAUGAAAGCAUUGGCUCGAAACUUUUUUCUGGUGGCCUAGAAUAUGUCAGCAGAGUUAGCAGCUCUCCAGGCACUGCUCAGGAUGUUAACACGUCCAGAAGGUGCAAAGAGCAGCGCCUCUCCAUCCCUGGGAAUGGCCUGCAUUGUCCUGGCUGAGGACUCAUGUUGGCAUUGCCGGACCAUUCAUGGAUCCAAAUUUCUUGGUAGUAGUGGAUGCAGAUACAAAGUGGCCAGAAGUGUUCCCAAUAGCCUCCUCUACAGCUUUGCACACUGUUGUUGUGUUGAGAAGCCUCUUCUGACGCUCUGGUGUUCCAAAACACUUAGUUAGUGACAAUGGACCAGAGUUUGUUGCGGAACUGUUUCAGUCAUUCUUGAAAAUGAAUGGAUUAAGACACAUUACAUCUGCCAUGUAUCACCAAGCUACAAAUGGCUUGGCAGAAAGUUUUGUCCAGAGUCUACAGUGCGCACUGCAGACAAUGUCAGCAGAACACACUACACUAACACUGAAUCAGAAGCUGACCAAUUUCCUCCUUGCAUAUCACAAUGUAGCAAACUGCACAAAAAAAUCACCAGCUAUGCUGUUCCUGGGUCGUCCCUUACACUCACGCUUGGAUCUUGUCAAAUCCAUUCUCAGGGAGGGUAUGCAGAACAAACA